rnacentral:lncRNA from 1 species
GAAAUUGAAGGGAAUGGGAAAUGACCAAGAAAAUUUAGGUUAGCUUACCUGAACCUACGUGGAUGAUUAUCACUUUUUCCUCUCUUUGAGCUCUUAAUUUUAUGUGAAAAUGAUGGAAGAAGUGAUAGAAAAUUGGGUGGCGAAGAGAGCUUUUAAAGGCUACAGGUGCUGCUAAAGAAGACACUAGGGCGCUAAAGUGGGAACACGACCGCUAAAGUGGUCUGGCAACAACAACAGGUGUCGCUAAAGCGGUGAGCGCUAAAGUGCAUCAUCGACAAAGGGUCCAGGACCGCUAAAGGGUCCCUUGAGAGAUAAAGUGUUGAGUGCUAAAGAGACCCAAUAGGCGCUUAAGAGGUCAUAUCAGGUUCCCUGCACCAAAUUUUGCUAACUGCGAAAUAGACUUAGAUCGGGCGAUCGGGAUUCAUUCGGAACCACAUGCGUGCAAACGAACUAUGCUACCACACCAAAUUUGACACUUUGGACUCAAUGGAUCCAUCGAAACUUUCAUUCGAGAUCAUUUAGACUAAAUGUGAGGCCCACAUGUAUAGUUUCAUGUUUUACAAAAUCCACCCAAUAGCCCAAUAUGAGUCCGGAAGCCUCGAGACCUGAACCGAGGGUCCUCCUAGCCUAAAAUCAAUAUUUUGGAGUUGAUGGCGCUGUCAGAAUUCUUAUUCGAGGUCUUCUACUAGGAUUUUUGGUACGAGACCAAAACCUAAACAACAAAAGCUCCAAAACAGGAAGAUGAGCCUAAUAUCUAAAUGAACUGUCCGAUAAUCAAACCGACAGUUUCG